CUUGAAUAGUAUAAACACAUUACCUUGAGCCUAAGCCUCAAAAAUAAAGACUCUUUUUCAAGAA
rnacentral:tRNA from 3 species